GACGAACGCUGGCGGCGUGCUUAACACAUGCAAGUCGAACGGAAAGGCCCUGCUUUUGUGGGGUGCUCGAGUGGCGAACGGGUGAGUAACACGGGAGUAACCUGCCCUUGACUUUGGGAUAACUUCAGGAAACUGGGGCUAAUACCGGAUAGGAGCUCCUGCUGCAUGGUGGGGGUUGGAAAGUUUCGGCGGUUGGGGAUGGACUCGCGGCUUAUCAGCUUGUUGGUGGGGUAGUGGCUUACCAAGGCUUUGACGGGUAGCCGGCCUGAGAGGGUGACCGGCCACAUUGGGACUGAGAUACGGCCCAGACUCCUACGUGAGGCAGCAGUGGGGAAUAUUGCACAAUGGGCGGGAGCCUGAUGCAGCAACGCCGCGUGCGGGAUGACGGCCUUCGGGUUGUAAACCGCUUUCGCCUGUGACGAAGCGUGAUUGACGGUAAUGGGUAAAGAAGCACCGGCUAACUACGUG
rnacentral:rRNA from 1 species